CUUCUGCCUACGAUGGUGUUAAAUAUACUUCGAGAGAUUCUCUCUUUGAAAUAAACCAAAUCUGAGGCACAAG